AGACGUCUACAUUAGAUACCCGCGUAGUCCCAGCCGUAAACUAUGCGCGUUAGGUAUGUCGGUAACCACGUGUUACUGAUGUGCCGAAGAGAAGUCGUGAAACGCACCACCUGGGAAGUACGGUCGCAAGGCUGAAACUUAAAGGAAUUGGCGGGGAGCACCACAACAGGUGGAGCCUGCGGUUUAAUUGGAUUCAACGCCGGACAUCUCACCGGAUAAGACAGCUGAAUGAUUGUCAAUCUGAAGGUUUUACAUGACUAGCUG
rnacentral:rRNA from 1 species